UAUUCUCAAAAUGAAUUUGUAAAAAAUGGACAAUUUAGAAGAAAAUAGAUUUUACAGAUGUUUGACAAAUAUUGAUAAUUAUUCAUUCAUUAAUUAUACAUGCUAUAUUUUGAAUAAAAGAAAGAGUGUAGGCAAUUAGGCCUAUUGUCAAAAUUACAUAGGUUGUCGCAACAUAGGUAUACGAAAAUCAAUAAUUUAGAUUAAAGUGCCAGCUUGGUUGACAAGACAAAAUUGAGUGACCAAUUAAAAUGUUGUGGUCAGUUAUGAAAUUAUGUAACGGGAAUUUUCAUUGGUAAAACGAAGGAAACCUGGGAUCUCUAAGCACGUGAGCAACGACCUUUUUAAGCUAGUGUUUUGGGCUAUUCGUCAGUUGCCAUGAGAUCUCAGUUGUAAUAAAAUAUAGUUAUUUUGGAAUUCUUCGUUUUUACCAGGAGAUUUGUGAAUUUGACGCAUAAUUUAUUCGUAGUAAAGUUUAAUUCUGUUAUUUGGUUAUAUUUAAUAUUCAACAAAGUUUAGAGAAAUCUUUGUUUGUCACUUUGGUUUACCUUGACAACGCAACAGAACACAAAGAAAAUAUUUGUUGUUUCAUGUAUAUUGAAAUCGUACCGAUGCAGGAUUGAUCUCCAGAACAGAAAUAUUUGCGUAUUACGUAAUAGCAAGAAACAUUUAAUAUAUUACAGCUGGACAUUAUCUACGUAUGAUGAACUAUAAAUAUUGUGAAAUAUAUUGUAUGCAUUUAUUUGAAAUUGUAUUAUAGAGUUGCCAUGAGAUCUCAGUUGUAAUAAAAUAUAGUUAUUUUGGAA